AUUCGAUUGGAAACAGGUGCUAAUACCGCAUAGAUCCAAGAACCGCAUGGUUCUUGGCUGAAAGAUGGCGUAAGCUAUCGCUUUUGGAUGGACCCGCGGCGUAUUAGUUAGUUGGUGAGGUAAUGGCUCACCAAGGCGAUGAUACGUAGCCGAACUGAGAGGUUGAUCGGCCACAUUGGGACUGAGACACGGCCCAAACUCCUACGGGAGGCAGCAGUAGGGAAUCUUCCACAAUGGACGCAAGUCUGAUGGAGCAACGCCGCGUGAGUGAAGAAGGCUUUCGGGUCGUAAAACUCUGUUGUUGGAGAAGAAUGGUCGGCAGAGUAACUGCUGCCGGCGUGACGGUAUCCAACCAGAAAGCCACGGCUAACUACGUGCCAGCAGCCGCGGUAAUACGAUAAUCACUAGUGAAUUCGCGGCCGCCUGCAGGUCGACCAUAUGGGAGAGCUCCCA
rnacentral:rRNA from 2 species